UUGGCAUUUAUGGACGACUUUUUGAAACUACAGAUGGUUUUCCUUGGCCAUGACCGAGCACUUCUAUAAUUUUCGAAGUCCUGUGCAUAGCCAUACAAAUUCUUUCUCAAGCACUCAGCAACCAAACAUCCCAAUGUGUUAAGGUCCUACAUAUACUGGAGAACUGCUAGCAAGACUCAGAUAUUAACUUCUU